GCGCGGAUGAGGUCGAUUUGGAGGUUGUGCCCUUGAGGCGUGGCUUCCGGAGCUAACGCGUUAAAUCGACCGCCUGGGGAGUACGGCCGCAAGGUUAAAACUCAAAUGAAUUGACGGGGGCCCGCACAAGCGGUGGAGCAUGUGGUUUAAUUCGAUGCAACGCGAAGAACCUUACCUGGUCUUGACAUCCACAGAACUUUCCAGAGAUGGAUUGGUGCCUUCGGGAACUGUGAGACAGGUGCUGCAUGGCUGUCGUCAGCUCGUGUUGUGAAAUGUUGGGUUAAGUCCCGCAACGAGCGCAACCCUUAUCCUUUGUUGCCAGCGGUUAGGCCGGGAACUCAAAGGAGACUGCCAGUGAUAAACUGGAGGAAGGUGGGGAUGACGUCAAGUCAUCAUGGCCCUUACGACCAGGGCUACACACGUGCUACAAUGGCAUAUACAAAGAGAAGCGACCUCGCGAGAGCAAGCGGACCUCAUAAAGUAUGUCGUAGUCCGGAUUGGAGUCUGCAACUCGACUCCAUGAAGUCGGAAUCGCUAGUAAUCGUAGAUCAGAAUGCUACGGUGAAUACGUUCCCGGGCCUUGUACACACCGCCCGUCACACCAUGGGAGUGGGUUGCAAAAGAAGUAGGUAGCUUAACCUUCGGGAGGGCGCUUACCACUUUGUGAUUCAUGACUGGGGUGAAGUCGUACAGGGGAAACCCGAAAAAGGGGGGGGGCCCAGGGGGGGGGAAGGGGGGGGGAGGGGGAGGGGGGGGACGGCGGGGGGGGGGAAAAGGCGGAAUAGGAAAAAGAGGGAGGUAGGAAACCUGGGGGAUU
rnacentral:rRNA from 1 species